rnacentral:rRNA from 1 species
UUUAUGGAGAGUUUGAUCCUGGCUCAGGAUGAACGCUGGCGGCGUGCCUAAUACAUGCAAGUCGAGCGAACGGACGAGAAGCUUGCUUCUCUGAUGUUAGCGGCGGACGGGUGAGUAACACGUGGAUAACCUACCUAUAAGACUGGGAUAACUUCGGGAAACCGGAGCUAAUACCGGAUAAUAUUUUGAACCGCAUGGUUCAAAAGUGAAAGACGGUCUUGCUGUCACUUAUAGAUGGAUCCGCGCUGCAUUAGCUAGUUGGUAAGGUAACGGCUUACCAAGGCAACGAUGCAUAGCCGACCUGAGAGGGUGAUCGGCCACACUGGAACUGAGACACGGUCCAGACUCCUACGGGAGGCAGCAGUAGGGAAUCUUCCGCAAUGGGCGAAAGCCUGACGGAGCAACGCCGCGUGAGUGAUGAAGGUCUUCGGAUCGUAAAACUCUGUUAUUAGGGAAGAACAUAU